rnacentral:rRNA from 1 species
UACGAAGGGAACUAGCGUUGUUCGGAUUUACUGGGCGUAAAGAGCACGUAGGCGGAUUGGUCAGUUGGGGGUGAAAGCCCGGAGCUCAACUCCGGAACUGCCUUCAAUACUACCAAUCUAGAGUCCGUAAGGGGGUGGUGGAAUUCCGAGUGUAGAGGUGAAAUUCGUAGAUAUUCGGAGGAACACCAGUGGCGAAGGCGACCACCUGGUACGGUACUGACGCUGAGGUGCGAAAGCGUGGGGAGCAAACAGG